AAUUUUAAUGUCCUUGUGACAUAAACAACAGUCAACGGGACAGAAAGCGUACACUACAGACAGGCAGAGCUAAGCAUAAAAAGCAACAUCCAAUGGUGGUUAGAAAGUAGUCCAAAGUCCAACAAGCAGAUGUAAGAACAUCAAGUCUGGGACAAAGGCUAUGUAAGCACACAGGAUGUCUGUAGUUUCUCACUCCUCCAGGUCAUGGUAGUCUCAAGAGCUUGAACAAAGAAAGCAGACGGACAUCUUUAAGUUUGUGGAGAUGUUUCAUCUUUAGCCUAAGAUGCUUCUUUGGUUCUAAAAAAAGAAAAGCUCCGCUUUUCAUGUGAUCCAUCCGAGUGCUGGCACAGUGAGGAUGAAGAAGUGAUCGGAUGUGUUGACCCCGAGCAGCAAGAUAACAGCCAUGUCAGUUCUUCCUCUGCGGGUGAAAAUGCUGCGGCAGGUCUGGAGGCUGAAGGGCGUCGUGAUUCUCGUCUGCAGCCCGUUCCUCCUGCUGCCGCUCGCCGUCAGCACCACGGUGAGACGCUUCACUGACCAGUUUAACCCACCAGUUUACUGAGAGGUGACCAGUUCACUGAGCACUUUAACUAGUUUUCAUGAACAAUGACUGGUUAAAGUUACCAGUGAACCAAUGUACAGGACAAACUCAUUUUAACCUGUUAACUGACAAGUAACCAGUUAUACUUCCAACUUUACUGAGUACUAGCUGUCCUGAAUAACCAUCUCACAGAGAAGUGCUCGGGUUAGUACUAACUGGUGUAAAUAACCAGUUUAUGGCACAACAAAGAGUCAGUUUGGCAGUGCAGCCUAAAAGUCCCAAACAGAUCACCUCCAACCUACCAGUGUAACAUAAGUGAUCUAAAUAUCAAAUUUGAAGAACGAUGAUUAAAAUAAUUUAAUUACAAAAUUAUUAUUUUCUGUUUUUUUUAUUAAACUGAACACUAACCAGCUCUCCUCCAUUCUUGCUACUGCUGUAGCUUCUGCCGACUUUGCUAUUUGUGAACUAGUGCAGCAUAGUUACAGGUUUAAUGAGCACUUAUUGGUCUAAAUAUUACCAAGAACAAACUUUCAACCAAUCAGCACUCAUCUAAGUAAUCUGUUUAAAUAAUCAGUUUUCUGAAACAGUGACCAGUUCAAGUUAUUGAUUUACACUCCAGAGAACAAACCUGUUUAAUGAAGCUGUUAAUGAGAACCUGCCAGUUUAAACUGAGCAGCAACCAGUUUAAACAGCCAGUUUUCUGAGAAAUUACCAACUCCAGUUAAGAGUUUACUCAGCAGUUUAUUAACUAGUACAUCCUAAAAGUUUCAGAGCGUGUUUGAGCAACCAGUUUAGUCUAAAGAGAUCAAGUUUCCCGAACAAUGACCAGUGAAAGUCACCAGUUUAUCAGGACAGAGACGAAACUGGUUACAUUCACCUGGUUUUGAUCACUAACACAUCAAUAAGUGCUGUUUACAAGCGUUUGAGCACUAACCAGUAUGAAUGGCCAGUUUACUGAGACUGUAAUGCAGCAGUGAACCAGCCUAACUGAUGUCAUACCCGUGUGUGUUUAAAAUGACCAGUUUUCUGUAUGAUUAGUUAAAGUUAGCAGUUUAGUGAACACGUGAAUAAAUACCAACAUAAACUCAGAGUGUGAAAGAACCUCUACGAUCGGACAAUCAGCCUUGUGUCGCUGUUUCAUCAUCGUUUUCUACUUUAUUUUGAUCUCAGUUUUACACAAGCAUAGGUGUCAAACUCUGGCCC